UUUUGUUUAAAGAGCAGGAAUUCCAUGGAAAUAAAAACAGUCUAGUCUGUUAAGUUCCUCUCAUGGACAUUUAUGAGGGCAAUUAUUAAUACUGUUGAAAAUUAUACUCAUGAAACCUGUUAAUGGGGGCUGUGCUGGCUGCUGCCAGAACAACUGCGCCCUUUACAACUCAUUUGGAGACAGAAAUAUUCGACAAAGUAGCUUACAGGGUGCAAAGGUUUGCGUGGUGCAGGCUUAGACUAACUUAACAUAUGCCCUCUGUAGCCUUGGUAUUGUCCAAAGCCUAAUGCCCGUAAUAAAAGAGAGAAAAAUUGGAACCCGAGUGGCAAGAAUGGUAAGCCCUGGGAAUUCUCCUAAUCAGAGAUAUUCAGCUAUUUUUAGUUUAUAAUGUUUGGUCAAAUAGCAACAAUGAUUUUUCUUCUUUUUUGCAACUCAGCUGCACGGUAUGUUGGAGGGGGUCUAGAUGGCCUGUGACCUUGCCUUUAUCUGUCGGUCUGUCACCACCGGUCUUCAAAGCACAGCUUAAAGGAUCUGAGGCUUCUGUGUGGCCUUGAUGUGAUCUGCUUUCCUGCAGGGAGGCCAAGACAGCUGAAAUCCAGCUCUGCUGCAAGGAGCAGACACAGCCACCAUGUUACUAACUAUGGGCUGCCUCCAUGGUGCUGCUGACCCACAGGAGCCACGAGGAGAAGCCUGGAGGGAGCAGGGGCAGUGAUCUGCACCUCAGGAAAAGCAAGCAAUCACAGGACUUCUCAGCACACCCCCCACCCUCUCCCUGUCCCUCCACCUCCUGAACUAUUUGAUCCAUGUAAGAAUCCAGCUGUGAGUGAAUGCAGGCAGGUGUAAAGCCCGGUCCUAAUCCCCUGGCUGUGUACCCGGGUUCCUGUGGUAUACUUUGAACAUGUGCUUCAGAUCAUCGUUUCAGUAGGUAAGACCUGCUUCUCAUCUGUGCGAACCAGUGUCUUAUACGUGCUUUGUGGGUUUUCCUAAAGCAGCCUAAAAUCUCUUAAUCCUCCCUUUCUGCCUUAUAUCUCUUGCUGAUUGCAAUUCUGAGCCCUGGGGCCCAAUGAUGGCUCCUUUCUGUCAUAAGAGAAGGGUUUGGGUUUUUGCUUUUUGUGUGUUUGGUGGAUUUUUUUUGGCUUUGAGGGUGAAUGCAGCUGCUGCCAGCUGGAAAAGGG
rnacentral:lncRNA from 1 species